rnacentral:rRNA from 1 species
GAUGAACGCUGGCGGCGUGCCUAAUACAUGCAAGUCGAGCGAACAGACGAGGAGCUUGCUCCUCUGACGUUAGCGGCGGACGGGUGAGUAACACGUGGAUAACCUACCUAUAAGACUGGGAUAACUUCGGGAAACCGGAGCUAAUACCGGAUAACAUGUUGAACCGCAUGGUUCAACAGUGAAAGACGGUCUUGCUGUCACUUAUAGAUGGAUCCGCGCCGCAUUAGCUAGUUGGUAAGGUAACGGCUUACCAAGGCAACGAUGCGUAGCCGACCUGAGAGGGUGAUCGGCCACACUGGAACUGAGACACGGUCCAGACUCCUACGGGAGGCAGCAGUAGGGAAUCUUCCGCAAUGGGCGAAAGCCUGACGGAGCAACGCCGCGUGAGUGAAGAAGAUCUUCGGAUCGUAAAACUCUGUUAUUAGGGAAGAACAAAUGUGUAAGUAACUAUGCACGUCUUGACGGUACCUAAUCAGAAAGCCACGGCUAACUACGUG